UAGCAUAUCAAUAAGCGGAGGAAAAGAAACUAACAAGGAUUCCCCUAGUAACUGCGAGUGAAGCGGGAAAAGCUCAAAUUUAAAAUCUGGCGGUCUUUGGCUGUCCGAGUUGUAAUCUGGAGAAGCGUUUUCUGCGUUGGACCGUGUACAAGUCUCUUGGAACAGAGCGUCAUAGAGGGUGAGAAUCCCGUCUUUGACACGGACUACCAAUGCUAUGUGAUGCGCUCUCAAAGAGUCGAGUUGUUUGGGAAUGCAGCUCAAAAUGGGUGGUAAAUUCCAUCUAAAGCUAAAUAUUGGCGAGAGACCGAUAGCGAACAAGUACCGUGAGGGAAAGAUGAAAAGCACUUUGGAAAGAGAGUUAAACAGUACGUGAAAUUGCUGAAAGGGAAACGCUUGAAGUCAGUCGCGUUUGCUAGUACUCAACCUGUCUUUUGACUGGUGCAUUUACUAGUGAACGGGCCAGCAUCAGUUUUGGUUGCGGGAUAAAGUCUAGAGAAAUGUGGCAUCUUCGGAUGUGUUAUAGUCUCUGGUCGUAUACCGUGGCUGGGACUGAGGAUCUCAGCACGCCUUUAUGGCGGGGGUUUUACCCACCUUCGUGCUUCGGAUGCUGGCGUAAUGGCUUUAAACGACCCGUCUUGAAACACGGACCAAGGAGUCUAACAUGCCUGCGAGUGUUUGGGUGGAAAACCCGAGCGCGUAAUGAAAGUGAAAGUUGGGAUCUCUGUCGUGGAGAGCACCGACGCCCGGAUCAGACCUUCUGUGACGAUUCCGCGGUAGAGCAUGUAUGUUGGGACCCGAAAGAUGGUGAACUAUGCCUGAAUAGGGUGAAGCCAGAGGAAACUCUGGUGGAGGCUCGUAGCGAUUCUGACGUGCAAAUCGAUCGUCAAAUUUGGGUAUAGGGGCGAAAGACUAAUCGAACCAUCUAGUAGCUGGUUCCUGCGAU
rnacentral:rRNA from 1 species